UACGUAGGGUGCAAGCGUUGUCCGGAAUUAUUGGGCGUAAAGAGCUCGUAGGCGGUUUGCCGCGUCUGCUGUGAAAACCCGAGGCUCAACCUCGGGCCUGCAGUGGGUACGGGCAGACUAGAGUGCGGUAGGGGAGAUUGGAAUUCCUGGUGUAGCGGUGGAAUGCGCAGAUAUCAGGAGGAACACCGGUGGCGAAGGCGGAUCUCUGGGCCAUUACUGACGCUGAGGAGCGAAAGCGUGGGGAGCGAACAGG
rnacentral:rRNA from 1 species